CGCUUGAGUACUCCGUUGGAGAAUGAAACAGGCUUAGUGUUUGUGGGUUGAAUCCGGGUCGGAGUUUCUGAUUCGGGUUCUGGUGAUUUUGGUGGGUUUGUUAUGGUGGUGGUGGCGUUGUUGGUGAUUAUCUCCAUCUAAGUUGAAAAAUUAAAAAAAUAAAAAAUAAAACCUAGCUUUUCAAUUUGGGGAAAUGAUGUUGUUAGGGUUAGCCUUAUUAGUAUAUAAAAACACAUGUAUCACACUCCAUGAAGCUAAACUGCUACUGAGACCAAUUCGAGAGUUUUACAAAGAUGAAUGAAGUAGAGAGGAAUAAAAAGGAGAAAGGGAGAAAAAAACGUUACUUUGAGAGAGAGAGAGUGAGGGAAAAGGAGAGAAGGGAUGUUGUUUGAUGAUGCUAAGUGACGACUGUUGAUAAUAGAAAUCUGUGUUUAUGUGGCUGUCCCUUCUUAACCACUUGUUUUUUUAACCCUGGUUCUAAUCCAUGGUUAAGUUGCUCACCCCACUUCUGGGUUAGAUGUGAGUAAUAAAUAUACCCUUUUUUCUUUUCUUUUGUUUUCUUUUCUUUACAGUGUAUGGUCUGGCCUUAAAUGCAUGUUAAAGUGA
rnacentral:lncRNA from 1 species